CACAACUUCAAUCAUUGCUACAGACUGUACCCGGUGCUUAGAGAAAAUCAGAUUGGAGAAACGUUCUGGUGACCAUUUGGGAAUAUUUUGGAUAUCAGGAAACAGAAAUCUUAGCCAGUAAAUUCAAGAACCAUAAUUGAAACAACGAAAGACUGCACCCAACAAGUCAGACAAACAUCCAAGGUGUAAAAGACAACAAACUGUGCAAAUACAGAAGAAAGAAAAGCGAUAAUGAUAACGAAUCAAUAAGCAAUAAAUAUCAGGAUCAUGAAUUAACGAGUCCGUGAAUGUGAGUUCAUAGUUUGUGGGAACAACUCAGUGAUGGGGCAAGUGAAGUUGACUGAAGUUACUCCAUUGGUUCUGCUGAAGGCUUUCGGCCUGUAACAUUGACUGUACUUUUUCCCAUUGAUGCUGCCUGGCCUGCUGAGUUCCUGUAGCCCUUUGUCUGUGCCCCUGGUUCAAGAGCCAGAUGGAUGAGGGGAAAUAACUGUUCCUGAACCUGGUGGUGCAAGUCCUGUGGCUUCUUCUAACUUUUUCCUGAUGGCAGCAGCGAGAAGAGAGCAUGGCCUGGAUGGUGGGGGGAAUCUGAUUAUGGAUGCUGUUUCCCUGCGACAGUGCUCCGUGUAGAUGUGCUCAAGAUAUAUGAAGAAUAAAAGAGAGAUGAGUAUGGAUAUUGGACCAUUGGAAAAUGUUGCUGGAAAGGUAGUAAUGACAAGGCGGAUGAACCUAUAUACAUGUAAUGUUCAGUGAGUUUUCGGGAAACAUUUUGGUUUCAGUGGUGGGUGUCAUAUUACUCGAAUCUGGCCACCUUAUUGGUUAACUGUGAUUAAUAGAAUUUCUGUUACCUCUGCUCUGGCAUCAGACCGCACUGUUUUCUGCUUCUUCCUUUGUCUUUUCCUAUGC